rnacentral:misc_RNA from 1 species
GGAAGAUGACAUUAGAAGCAUAAGCAGAUUUCAUUCCAUAAACCUUCGUCAGAUAGAGUAUCAUACUCGGCGAUAAACCCUGAUUCGCGAGCUUCUCAAGUGCUCCAUUAGCGAUUAUGAAAGGCAAGGUUCUUAAGCCUCCUUUGCCAUCGGUGGUGCUCAACAGUGGCUCUUCCAUGUCUCUAUCUUCAUCGGCAACCAAUGGACCUUCCAU